UAUGGUAAUUGUUGCAGCCGCGGUAAUACGGAGGAUCCGAGCGUUAUCCGGAUUUAUUGGGUUUAAAGGGAGCGUAGGCGGACUAUUAAGUCAGCUGUGAAAGUUUGCGGCUCAACCGUAAAAUUGCAGUUGAUACUGGUCGUCUUGAGUGCAGUAGAGGUAGGCGGAAUUCGUGGUGUAGCGGUGAAAUGCUUAGAUAUCACGAAGAACUCCGAUUGCGAAGGCAGCUUACUGGACUGUAACUGACGCUGAUGCUCGAAAGUGUGGGUAUCAAACAGG
rnacentral:rRNA from 1 species